rnacentral:misc_RNA from 1 species
AACGCACCUUGCGCCCCUUGGUAUUCCGAGGGGCAUGCCUGUUUGAGUGUCUUGAAAUCAUCAAACCUAACCGGUCUUGUUGCCGGCGCGGUUUGGACUUGGGGGUUCUUUGCUGCCGCUCGCGGUGGCUCCCCUUAAAUGUAUCGGUCGGGCUUUCGUGCGGCUCUGUCCCUUGGCGUUGUAUUACCCUCGUCGCUGGAUGGCUCGCGAUUCUGUGCCCCUCCCUGACCUGCCUCUGGAGCGGCGGUCUCUAACAUUUUGUGAUCUGACCUCAAAUCAGGUAGGACUACCCGCUGAACUUAA